rnacentral:rRNA from 1 species
CUAUGGGCGGCAGCAGUGAGGAAUAUUGGUCAAUGGGCGCGAGCCUGAACCAGCCAUCCCGCGUGCAGGAUGACGGCCCUAUGGGUUGUAAACUGCUUUUCUAUGCCAAGAAACCCUGUUACGAGUAACAGGUUGCCGGUAGCAUAGGAAUAAGCAUCGGCUAACUCCGUGCCAGCAGCCGCGGUAAUACGGAGGAUGCAAGCGUUAUCCGGAUUCAUUGGGUGUAAAGGGUGCGCAGGUGGGCUUGUAAGUCAGUGGUGAAAUGCUGCCGCUUAACGGUAGAACUGCCAUUGAUACUGCGAGUCUUGAGUAUGGUUGAGGUAGGCGGAAUGUGUUGUGUAGCGGUGAAAUGCAUAGAUAUGACACAGAACGCCAAUUGCGAAGGCAGCUUACUAAGCCAUUACUGACGCUGAGGCACGAAAGCGUGGGGAGCGAACAGGAUUAGAUACCCCAGUAGUC